rnacentral:rRNA from 1 species
GCGAACGGGGAGGAGCCCAGAGCCUGAAUCAGCAUGUGUGUUAGUGGAAGCGUCUGGAAAGGCGCGCGAUACAGGGUGACAGCCCCGUACACAAAAGCGCAUGUGCUGUGAGCUCGAUGAGUAGGGCGGGACACGUGGUAUCCUGUCUGAAUAUGGGGGGACCAUCCUCCAAGGCUAAAUACUCCUGACUGACCGAUAGUGAACCAGUACCGUGAGGGAAAGGCGAAAAGAACCCCGGCGAGGGGAGUGAAAAAGAACCUGAAACCGUGUACGUACAAGCAGUGGGAGCACAGGUUUACCUGUGUGACUGCGUACCUUUUGUAUAAUGGGUCAGCGACUUAUAUUCUGUAGCAAGGUUAACCGAAUAGGGGAGCCGGAGGGAAACCGAGUCUUAAUUGGGCGUUAAGUUGCAGGGUAUAGACCCGAAACCCGGUGAUCUAGCCAUGGGCAGGUUGAAGGUUGGGUAACACUAACUGGAGGACCGAACCGACUAAUGUUGAAAAAUUAGCGGAUGACCUGUGGCUGGGGGUGAAAGGCCAAUCAAACCGGGAGAUAGCUGGUUCUCCCCGAAAGCUAUUUAGGUAGCGCCUCGUGAAUUCAUCUCCGGGGGUAGAGCACUGUUUCGGCUAGGGGGCCAUCCCGGCUUACCAACCCGAUGCAAACUGCGAAUACCGGAGAAUGUUAUCACGGGAGACACACGGCGGGUGCUAACGUCCGUCGUGAAGAGGGAAACAACCCAGACCGCCAGCUAAGGUCCCAAAGUCAUGGUUAAGUGGGAAACGAUGUGGGAAGGCCCAGACAGCCAGGAUGUUGGCUUAGAAGCAGCCAUCAUUUAAAGAAAGCGUAAUAGCUCACUGGUCGAGUCGGCCUGCGCGGAAGAUGUAACGGGGCUAAACCAUGCACCGAAGCUGCGGCAGCGAACGUAUCACUUAAAGCGAUUCAGCGGGUUACGAUUGACGGAGCGAAGCGACG